CUGCAGCUUUUCUUCAGUCGUCCAGGCCUAGUGGAGGUCAGCCGUUCAGUGCAGUAAAGUGAAGUGAAUUAAAGUAAAGUAAAGAAAAGCAAAAUGUGUGAAAAUAUUUAAUGAUCGUUCAGCGAAGCAUUAAAGACAGAAGAAGUACCUAGAGGAAAUUCUUCUACUGAAAACUCUUCAGUCUGAAACUCUUUGAUAAAUACUUCGAAAAAAUAUUUUAAAGAAAUAUUCGAAGAAACACUGAAGAAAAUUGUAUAAUUUUUAUUCUAUAUAUAUAUUUGUAAUAAUUAAUAUUUAACGGAACAAUAAGAGCUGCCCUCGUCUGUCUAAACAUUACACACACCAUUUGGCGUUCAAUUAAAAUUGCUGUUGCUACAAUACAAAUUAUAUGUUCGGUCAAUGGCCAACUGUAUUUGUAUAUAUAUUAGUAUAUAUGUGUGUAUAAAUCUCAAGCGUACAUCGACUUUUUUGUGCCCCAAACAGAGCACAAUCAUCGACAUCUCAGGCUAUUAGAGAAAAACACACAGUCAUUGGCGUUGACGUUGCGCCAAAAUUACAUAGCCCUGGAGUAAUUAAGAAACAAAGAGUCAAUUGAGAUGGCAAACCCAUUUCGUAAUGGAACGAAUACACACAACAACAACCAAGCAAACACUCUUCCUGUUGGUAAACAUGUCGGGUCCUUGAUCGUCAUACAUUUAAUGCGCUUCACUAAUCGUUAGUGCAAUAAAUUGCAACCAAGUGCUAACACAUACAUAUUAUAUCUACAUGCACAAUAUAUGUAUAUCUAAAUGUUUAUUUGGUUGGCCAUAUAAUAUAAGAGAUUAAUUGACAGAGCAUGCCAAAGCCAGGGCAGCGAGCCAAGUCAAAUAA